UUCUGGUUCCGGAAUGAGGCA
rnacentral:misc_RNA from 1 species